rnacentral:lncRNA from 1 species
GUUCUGAGACGGGCUAAAGGGCCACCUUGUGGGUCAGGUGACAUCAGGUGCCCUAGCUACCGACCCUGGUCACAUGCACUUUCUUUCCCAGGGAUGGAGAUCUACCAGGUAAGACCAAGUGGCUGUAAGACUGACUGGAAGAGGGAGCCUGGCCUGCGGCUUCUGCUGGGGCUGAAUAAGCAUUGCCUUUCAGACUCCAGACAGGUGAGUAAGGGGCUGGUUUUGCAUAGCAAAACCACACUGUUGGAUCAUGCUGUUGGCAUUUCAGCGCAGUGGAACUGGAUGUGGGCUCCAGCUCUCACACCCGCCCCCACCUAGGGUGAUACACAGCCUCAUUCCAGGUGAUGGAAAAGCGCCCAAGCAGCUUAAGACGUAGGGAUGGCAGUUACUUUAACCGUCUCUUCUUUAAUGACACCACUGCUUCCUGCCCACUGUAGAUCAUUUUUCCAUAAGGCACACAACUCUCUCUACAUCUCAUCCCUAUGAGACACAGGAUUUUCCUUAUGGCAGAGGAUUCUGAUUUCCCAACACUAGAUUUUGUAAAGUUUCUUGGCAUCUUACCAGGUGGAAGGGCCUGUCUAAUAUAUGAGGCUAUGUCUAAUAUAUGACUUUAAAAAGAAAAUCAAAUUUGAUUUUGUCUCUGAGACUCUGCCAUGUGAUUCUCUGAGUUAUUACCAACACGCAUUUCUGGUUUCAAAAAUAUUCUGACUCAGGCUCUCUUCUAAUUUUUCCAUUGUUGGCAAUAUCCUCAAGUAACCACAAUCUUAUCCAUUGUCUGAUUACUAGAACAAAACAUGGUUUGAGGUUGUUUGGAGCCUGCAGAGAGUUUCAUUUUGUUUCAAAAAUAAUACCAGAAGUAAUAGAGUUAGUUAAAAAUCAGGGGGGUUAGACUGUAAAACACGCACAGAUUGCCACUCUGUGGAAAUCAGGUCUAACUUGAUUUGCGGUGGUAAUGGGCCUUAACUAGAAUAAUUAGAAUGGCUAUUGGGACAGUGAUUUGGGAGAGAUGAAAUAUUGUCCACUUAUCUUCUUGGACCUCGGCAAUAGAUAUACUUCCAGAGAACCACCCCUGUUGAAUUUGGAUCAGAAAAUUAUAGAGAAGAACGUUUGUAAAGAUCCAUGAAGAAACAUGGAGGUACAGUGACUCACAUAAGCAUGCAACUAGAAACUGAUGUCCUUCUCUGUGUCAGCUCUUGGUGAGGCAUGGUCCUAUCAUAGAGUGGUCCAGACAGGUGCUGACACAUGCAGUCAUGAUGACCGUGGUUAGUGGGGCAGCCUCAGAUGAGCAGUGCUACACAGGACAGCAGACAGUAAAAGGAGGUCUUCAUCAGCUCAGAGCAUAGAAAGACAUUACAGAGAAGCUGGUGUUGCCUAGAGCCUGGGAGGGUAGCCUUGGAAGGGCAUAUGGGAAACCAUAGCAUGGUAGAUGUUUUAAAGAUGUGAGUGAGCUCGUGGAAUUAAAGGCUGUGGUAGGGUGGGAAGAAGCCAGCCAGGCUGUUUGCUAAUCUCAGAGAAUGUAUGUGCUCUAUGAGAGAGAUCUGAGCUAAUUCUGAAGGCAGCAAGGACCCUGAAACUUUGCCAGCUCUUCAUUGGCAUUGUAAAUGGCAGGGCCAUGGCAAAGGGUCCUGCUACAUCUGCACUUGGUGGAGAUGUUUAUUCAUUUCAAGAUCCCAGACUGGAAUGUUAGAGGAAGAACAGCUAGCCAAUAGAACCUCUGAAUGUCUUGUCUUGUCUUGUCUGUCUGUCUGUCUGUCUGUCUGUCUCUCUAUGUGUCUGUCUCUCUGUGUGUCUAUCUGUCUGUCUGAGGCAAGAUACUGUCUGUUUGAGGCACUGUAGCCCAGAACUUGUUUCAAACUUUUAAAAAUCUCCUUUAUCUCAGUCUCCUGAAUGCUAGUAUUAUGGGCAAAACACACUGAGUGUCUGGGUGUCUUGUCUGCCUGAGUUCAUGUAGGGGUUAAUGGAAGGAAGGAAGGAAGCAGCCCCAGAUAAGCAUGUUCAGCAGGGUACAGAAUGGAGAGAAACCAGAAGCUCAGACCUGGGAUUCAGGAAGGAAGCUAAAAUACCUUUUGUGAAGCCCCGGCCGUGUGUGUGUGUGUGUGUGUGUGUGUGUGUGUGUGUGUGCCUCAAGCAAAGCCAGGCAGGGGACAGUCUGAGAGCUAUCCAGAGAAACAGUGUCCCCAGUUGCUUUCAACUUCCAAGUGGAACUAGGCUACAACUCUACAAACUCUACAGAGGAGUUAGUGGUCUCCACUUCAGAGACCCCAGCACAUAAUGCAAAAGUCCCAGGUCUCCAUUGCCCUUCCACAGACACUUCUAGGAUCUCUGGGGCCAUAUUUGGCCUUCUUGGUUGAGAGAAAUCAGGACUCUGGAACAGGCCCAGAGGACAGCAACAAACCUGAUUGAGCUUAAGAACAGGACUCAAGAGGCAUGCUAAAGAAAUUGGGGGUGAUCUGCUUAAAAUAGGAAGGGUGGAGUAGGAACUGAAUCCAGUCAGGGGAUAGAGGCCUGUGUCCGGUUAUUUUCUAGUUUCAAGGGCAGAAAAUGAGAAGCAAUCCUUCUAACUUGCCACCAGAUAGAUCAGGUAGGGAAGGAAUUUCAUGUAUGAAGCUUGGCCUUCCAUGCAGUUACUGUAAAGGCGAGCCCACUUCUUCCCCUGCAAGGAAAUCGUCUAGAGACCCCCAACUUAUUCCCAAAAUACUUUCAAGUUUUCCUUAGCCCAAAUAGGCUCCAGCUCUUCUGGCCUUCAGGAGCCUGUGGAACUUGAGGAACAUAGGGACCUGUAUUCAAUGUUCAAGAACAAGGCAGCUGCUCUUGGAGGAGACACAGAAGUCCUGGGAGCUAGAAACCAAUACAGACAUGGGUAUUUGCUUCCGUAAAUGUGUGCUUGUUAUUGUGGUAUAAUACCCCUUCUUCCUG